UACGUAGGGACCGAGCGUUGUCCGGAAUUAUUGGGCGUAAAGAGCUCGUAGGCGGUCUGUCGCGUCUGCUGUGAAAACUCAGGGCUUAACCCUGAGCUUGCAGUGGGUACGGGCAGACUAGAGUGCGGUAGGGGAGACUGGAAUUCCUGGUGUAGCGGUGAAAUGCGCAGAUAUCAGGAGGAACACCGGUGGCGAAGGCGGGGUCUCUGGGCCGUAACUGACGCUGGAGGAGCGGAAAGCAUGGGGAGCGAACAGG
rnacentral:rRNA from 1 species